UGGGGAAUAUUGCACAAUGGGCGCAAGCCUGAUGCAGCCAUGCCGCGUGUAUGAAGAAGGCCUUCGGGUUGUAAAGUACUUUCAGCGAGGAGGAAGGCGUUGUGGUUAAUAACCGCAACGAUUGACGUUACUCGCAGAAGAAGCACCGGCUAACUCCGUGCCAGCAGCCGCGGUAAUACGGAGGGUGCAAGCGUUAAUCGGAAUUACUGGGCGUAAAGCGCACGCAGGCGGUCUGUCAAGUCGGAUGUGAAAUCCCCGGGCGCAACCUGGGAACUGCAGCCGAAACUGGCAGGCUAGAGUCUUGUAGAGGGGGGUAGA
rnacentral:rRNA from 1 species